rnacentral:rRNA from 1 species
UAUCAAUAAGCGGAGGAAAAGAAACCAACAGGGAUUGCCCUAGUAACGGCGAGUGAAGCGGCAACAGCUCAAAUUUGAAAUCUGGCGUCUUCGGCGUCCGAGUUGUAAUUUGUAGAGGAUGCUUCUGGGUUGUCACCGGUUUAAGUUCCUUGGAACAGGACGUCAUAGAGGGUGAGAAUCCCGUGUGUGACCGGCCGACUCCCUCCACGUAGCUCCUUCGACGAGUCGAGUUGUUUGGGAAUGCAGCUCUAAAUGGGAGGUAAAUUUCUUCUAAAGCUAAAUAUCUGCCAGAGACCGAUAGCGCACAAGUAGAGUGAUCGAAAGAUGAAAAGCACUUUGGAAAGAGAGUUAAAAAGCACGUGAAAUUGUUGAAAGGGAAGCGUUUGCAAUCAGACUUGUCUGCGGCGUUCAGCCGGUCUUCUGACCGGCCUACUCGUCGUAAGCAGGCCAGCAUCACUUGGGGCCGUGGGAUAAUAGCUUUGGAAUGUGGCUCCUCGGAGUGUUAUAGCCAAUGCUGAUGCCACGAGCCUCGAGUGAGGUCCGCGUUCGCUAGGAUGCUGGCGUAAUGGUUGUAAACCGCCCGUCUUGAAACACGG